rnacentral:rRNA from 1 species
UCGUAAAGCACUUUCGCCAGGGAUGAUAAGGACAGUACCUGGUAAAGAAACCCCGGCUAACUCCGUGCCAGCAGCCGCGGUAAUACGGAGGGGGUUAGCGUUGUUCGGAAUUACUGGGCGUAAAGCGUACGUAGGCGGAUCAGAAAGUUGGGGRUGAAAUCCCGGGGCUCAACCCCGGAACUGCCUCCAAAACUCCUGGUCUUGAGUUCGAGAGAGGUGAGUGGAAUUCCAAGUGUAGAGGUGARRUUCGUAGAUAUUUGGAGGAACACMASKGCCGAAGGCGGCUCACAUGGCUCGRUACUGACGCUGAGGUACGAAAGUGUGGGGAGGACAMACAGGAKUAGAUACCCKGAGUAGWCCACACCGUAAACGAUGAAUGCMAGUCRUCGGGCAGUAUACUGUUCGUGACACACUAACGGAUUAAGCAUUCCGCC